AUUGAACGCUGGCGGCAGGCUUAACACAUGCAAGUCGAGCGGGGUGAUGGUGCUUGCACUAUCACUUAGCGGCGGACGGGUGAGUAAUGCUUAGGAAUCUGCCUAUUAGUGGGGGACAACAUCUCGAAAGGGAUGCUAAUACCGCAUACGUCCUACGGGAGAAAGCAGGGGAUCUUUAUGACCUUGCGCUAAUAGAUGAGCCUAAGUCGGAUUAGCUAGUUGGUGGGGUAAAGGCCUACCAAGGCGACGAUCUGUAGCGGGUCUGAGAGGAUGAUCCGCCACACUGGGACUGAGACACGGCCCAGACUCCGACGGGAGGCGGCAGUGGGGAAUAUUGGACAAGGGGGGGAACCCUGAUCCAGCCAUGCCGCGUGUGUGAAGAAGGCCUUAUGGUUGUAAAGCACUUUAAGCGAGGAGGAGGCUCUUUUGGUUAAUACCCAGAAUGAGUGGACGUUACUCGCAGAAUAAGCACCGGCUAACUCUGUGCCAACAGCCGCCGCGGUAA
rnacentral:rRNA from 1 species